rnacentral:rRNA from 1 species
UACAGAGGUGGCAAGCGUUGUUCGGAAUUACUGGGCGUAAAGGGCGCGUAGGCGGUUCGUUAAGUCAGAUGUGAAAGCCCCGGGCUUAACCUGGGAACUGCGUUUGAAACUGGGGAGCUAGAGUGUGGAAGAGGGGGGUGGAAUUCCAGGUGUAGCAGUGAAAUGCGUAGAGAUCUGGAGGAACACCGAUGGCGAAGGCAGCCCCCUGGGCUAACACUGACGCUCAUGCACGAAAGCGUGGGGAGCAAACAGG